rnacentral:rRNA from 1 species
CGACUACAUGAAGCUGGAAUCGCUAGUAAUCGCAGAUCAGAAUGCUGCGGUGAAUACGUUCCCGGGUCUUGUACACACCGCCCGUCACACCAUGGGAGUCGGAUAUGCCCGAAGCCAGUGACCCAACCGUAAGGAGGGAGCUGUCGAAGGUGGAGCCGAUAACUGGGGUGAAGUCGUAACAAGGUAGC